rnacentral:rRNA from 1 species
CCCUACGGGGUGCACCAGGUACUCCCCGCCCUGCCUGGAGCCUGCCCACAAGAACGCUGUCCCGUAGCGCACAUGGAAGGCAACAAUGGACUGGAGCGCCGCAUGUGGCUUCAUCUCUGAUCGGUAUCGGCCUUGGCGCAUGUCAUCGAUGGUGCCCUCUACCACGACAGCGAAGCAUUCAUAACUCCUGGCCCUGGCGAGCUCGCGCUCGAAUCGGUCCCGGUUCCCGCCCUUGAGACAGCCCACCAGGUCAUCAAGGGACUUGCGCUCGAUAGCAAUGCAGGAUUCAAAGCCCUGCAAGCUGUAAUCUCCAGUGGGAAGCGUGGCCCGUUCGGUCGUCGUGCCCUGGUAGCGUGUGAAUUGGCGGGAGGGC